ensembl:lncRNA
GAGGUUCUUCCCAAAGUUUCUCCAUUAAAAGCAAUUGUUGUUGUUUACAGCCACUCAGUUGUGUCCGACUCUUUUGCAGCCCCAUAGACUCGUCUGCUAGGCUCCUCUGUCCAUGGAGUUUUCCAGGCAGGAAUACUGGAGUAGCUUGCCAUUUCCUUUUCCAGGGGAUCUUCCUGACUCAGGAAUCAAACCUGCAUCUCCUGCAUUGGCAGGAUGUUAUGCAGGCUGUGGUGAUGCAUUGAGCUGUUACAUCUCCCUGGUUUUACAGACUUUGUCGUUUAUUCUCAGGAGAAACUUGGUUAAGCACGGUCAGUUGUAUAAACCUAAACAAAGUUCUAGCUUCUCUGAGCCUCAGGUUUCUGCUGUAAAAUUAAAAAAAAAAAUUUUGGGGGGGGCAAGAUCCAAUAAACUCUUG